rnacentral:rRNA from 1 species
GUCCACGCCCUAAACGAUGAAUACUCGAUGUUGGCGAUAUACGGUCAGCGUCUAAGCGAAAGCGUUAAGUAUUCCACCUGGGGAGUACGCCCGCAAGGGUGAAACUCAAAGGAAUUGACGGGGGCCCGCACAAGCGGAGGAGCAUGUGGUUUAAUUCGAUGAUACGCGAGGAACCUUACCCGGGCUUGAAAGUUAGUGAAUGAUCCAGAGACGGAUCAGCUCUUCGGAGCACGAAACUAGGUGCUGCAUGGCUGUCGU